rnacentral:rRNA from 1 species
UACGUAGGGUGCAAGCGUUAAUCGGAAUUACUGGGCGUAAAGCGUGCGCAGGCGGUUUUGUAAGUCUGGCGUGAAGGCCCCGGGCUCAACCUGGGAAUUGCGAUGGAGACUGCAAGGCUUGAAUCUGGCAGAGGGGGGUAGAAUUCCACGUGUAGCAGUGAAAUGCGUAGAGAUGUGGAGGAACACCGAUGGCGAAGGCAGCCCCCUGGGUCAAGAUUGACGCUCAUGCACGAAAGCGUGGGGAGCAAACAGG